CUGUACUAUUAAAUAGAUAAUAAGUUUUAUUCUUGCUAAAAUAUUUAUUAUAUAAUAGAAUUAUAUGCAAUAUAUUAAUUAGUAUGAUUUCUUAAUGAUUUUAUAUAAUUUAAAUUGCAGUAAUUAAUAUUAAUAAUUUAAGAAAUUUUGAGUUAGUUAUUUUUAUUAAAUAUUGAUUAAAUAUGUGCCAGCAGUCGCGGUUAUACAUAGAAUAUAAAUAAAUAUAUUCAGUUUAGUAGUUAUUAUCAUUAUUUUAAUUAAUUUAUAUAUUUUAUUUUUAGGUGAAAUUUAAUUUUUUUUUAAUUUAAUCUACAUUAUAAGAAGCUAUGAAAUCUAAUUAAUUAAACUAGGAUUAGAUACCCUAUUAUUAUAGAUAUAAAUUUUGGACUUGAGUAGUAUUAGUUAUGAUCUUGAAACUUAAAGAAUUUGGCGGUAUUUUAGUCUAUUUAGAGGAAUCUGUUCCAUUAUCGAUAUUCCACGUUGAACCUUACUUAAUUUAUUAAUAUGUAUACCGCCGUUUAUUGAAAAUCUUAUUAGGGUAAAAUUUUCUUAAUACAAAAUUUUGUAAUAUUUCAGGUCAAGGUGCAGUUUAUAAUUAAGUGGAAAUGGAUUACAAUACUUUAGUAUCACGGAUUAUAAUUUUAAACAGUUAUAUAAAGGUGGAUUUAAUAGUAAUUUUUAAAAGAUUGUUAAAGUGAUUAAAGCUCUAAAAUGUGUACACAUCGCCCGUCACUCUCGUUAUUAAGAUGAGAUAAGUCGUAACAAAGUAGGU
rnacentral:ncRNA from 1 species